rnacentral:misc_RNA from 1 species
UCCGGUUUGGCACCGGCAGUCUCCAAUGAGUCCCCGGCAUUACCCGCUGGCAACAUUGGACAGGGGUUGCGCUCGUUGCGCCACUUAAGGCAACACCUCACGGCACGAGCUGACGACAGCCAUGCACCACCUGUGCACCGGCCCCGAAGGGCUGCCGGAUUUCUCCGGCAUUCCAGUGCAUGUCAAGCCCAGGUAAGGUUCUUCGCGUUGCGUCGAAUUAAACCACAUGCUCCGCUGCUUGUGCGGGCCCCCGUCAAUUCCUUUGAGUUCUAGCCUUGCGGCCGUACUCCCCAGGCGGUGCGCUUAAUGCGUUGGCUGCGACACAGAAGGCCGAACCCCCUGCGUCUAGCGCACAUCGUUUACAGCGUGGACUAC